UCCCUGUGCAGCGUCAGCUGGUCCUGC
rnacentral:sRNA from 1 species